rnacentral:rRNA from 1 species
GAUCAUGGCUCAGGACGAACGCUGGCGGCGUGCCUAAUACAUGCAAGUAGAACGCUGAAGGAAGGAGCUUGCUCUUUCCGGAUGAGUUGCGAACGGGUGAGUAACGCGUAGGUAACCUGCCUGGUAGCGGGGGGAUAACUAUUGGAAACGAUAGCUAAUACCGCAUAACAGUAGAUAUCGCAUGAUAGCUGCUUGAAAGGUGCAAUUGCACCACUACCAGAUGG